AUUGAACGCUGGCGGCAGGCCUAACACAUGCAAGUCGAGCGGAUGAAGGGAGCUUGCUCCUGGAUUCAGCGGCGGACGGGUGAGUAAUGCCUAGGAAUCUGCCUGGUAGUGGGGGAUAACGUCCGGAAACGGGCGCUAAUACCGCAUACGUCCUGAGGGAGAAAGUGGGGGAUCUUCGGACCUCACGCUAUCAGAUGAGCCUAGGUCGGAUUAGCUAGUUGGUGGGGUAAAGGCCUACCAAGGCGACGAUCCGUAACUGGUCUGAGAGGAUGAUCAGUCACACUGGAACUGAGACACGGUCCGGACUCCUACGGGAGGCAGCAGUGGGGAAUAUUGGACAAUGGGCGAAAGCCUGAUCCAGCCAUGCCGCGUGUGUGAAGAAGGUCUUCGGAUUGUAAAGCACUUUAAGUUGGGAGGAAGGACAGUAAGUUAAUACCUUGCUGUUUUGACGUUACCAACAGAAUAAGCACCGGCUAACUUCGUG
rnacentral:rRNA from 1 species